rnacentral:rRNA from 1 species
UCGGGAAUUUUGCGCAAUGGACGAAAGUCUGACGCAGCAACGCCGCGUGAGGGAUGAAGGCCUUCGGGUUGUAAACCUCUUUUCUCAGGGACGAUGAUGACGGUACCUGAGGAAGAAGCCACGGCUAACUACGUGCCAGCAGCCGCGGUAAUACGUAGGUGGCGAGCGUUGUCCGGAUUUACUGGGCGUAAAGAGCGCGCAGGCGGUCGUGCAAGUCGCGUGUGAAAGCCCCCGGCUCAACUGGGGAGGGUCACGCGAUACUGCUCGACUCGAAGGCAGGAGAGGGAAGUGGAAUUCCCGGUGUAGUGGUGAAAUGCGUAGAUAUCGGGAGGAACACCAGUGGCGAAGGCGACUUCCUGGCCUGUUCUUGACGCUGAGGCGCGAAAGCUAGGGUAGCAAACGG